rnacentral:rRNA from 1 species
UACCAAAAAAUUGAGUUAUAUAUUUAUGGUAAAAAGACAGUUAAACAAAUUUAUGAGUUUAUUGAUUACUUAUAAAAAGGUAAAAUUUAUAUAUAAGUAUAAUAAUCUAGUAAUAACUUUUUAAGUUGAAUCUGUGAUAGCUUUGAGGGAAACUGGGAUUGGAUACCCCAUUAUUCUUGGUUGUAAAUUUAAUAAUAAUUUACCGGAGUACUAUGAAUACAAAAAUUUAAAACUCAAAGGGCUUGGCGGUAUUUUAGACCACUUAGGGGAACCUGUCUCAUAAUCGAUAAUCCACGUUACACCUAACCUUUUUUUGCAUUCAGUUUGUAUACCGUCGUCGUCAGGUAACUUUUAAAAAAUGAAAAGUUAGCUAGAAAAUAUUUUAAAUAAAUUAAAACGUCAGAUCAGGGUGCAACUUAUGAAAAGGAGAAGAUGGGUUACAAUUAUAAAUUUAUAAUUAUGGAUAAUGACUAUAAAUAGUGAAUUGAAAGAGGACUUAAAAGUAAUUUUAAAUAUAUAAGUAAUUUGAAUAAGGCUCUGAAAUGUGC